rnacentral:tRNA from 1 species
CAAAAGGUGGCUGAGUGAUAAAGGCGUUAGAUUGUAAAUCUAUUCACGGGUUUUCCCUCUUUUGA